AUCGCUUCUCGGCCUUUUGGCUAAGAUCAAGUGUAGUAUCUGUUCUUAUCAGUUUAAUAUCUGAUGCAUCCUCGAUGAGAGGACUUUUUCUUUUUGGACAAGAGGCAACGGGCACAAACCAAAACACAGGAAGUUCCAUCUGAAUAUGAAGAGAAACUUCUUUACUGUG
ensembl:snRNA U2 U2 spliceosomal RNA